UGCUGCACCCCGUGAACAAUAUUGUUAACAAGUUGUUAACAUGAUUGUCAACAAGUUGCAACAAUGUUGAUGGUUCAACAACUUGUUAACAAUAUUGUUCACGGGGUGCAGCACAACAUU